rnacentral:rRNA from 1 species
UACGUAGGGUGCAAGCGUUAAUCGGAAUUACUGGGCGUAAAGCGUGCGCAGGCGGUGAUGUAAGACAGAUGUGAAAUCCCCGGGCUCAACCUGGGAACUGCAUUUGUGACUGCAUCGCUGGAGUACGGCAGAGGGGGGAUGGAAUUCCGCGUGUAGCAGUGAAAUGCGUAGAUAUGCGGAGGAACACCGAUGGCGAAGGCAAUCCC